GUUUGUUCAUGAUGUAGGCUACACAUCCAAAUGAAACCACGAGGCCGCAUUUCGAUGAAAGGAAAGACACCAACGAAAGAUUGUACAGUAGGCUAGCGACUUUUUAAAAAAACUUUUUUGAACAAGAACAUGCUGCUUAGCUUGAUGUUUGUUCAUGAUGUAGGCGACACGUCCAAAUGAAACCACGAGGCCAUAUUUCGUUUUGUAGAAAAUGUAGAAUUUAUGUAUCAUUUUUACACAUACGCACUCACACACAUUUGAUAAUGCUCAACAGAUAACACAUUCAUCAUUAUGCUCAACAGAACAUUAAUCAUUGGUGGACAAAGUCGAAGUUGAGUUGACUGAAAGUGGACUGAAAAAGUCCAGUGAAGACUGAACGUGGAGGUACAAUGAGUAGCGUUAGUAUUCAAGACGUAAAACAUUUCAGCUUUCUCUUGGCCCCUAGUGUUUUUUUGGGCGCAUAUAUUUUGGGGUCAUUUACCCUUCUUAAUUCAGCCCCAAUCCUGCAAAGGACAAACUUUGGGACUGUAAUUUCCUCCAGCAGUAAUGCAUGCUCAGGAAGGAGCUCCUGGCAGGUGGAACAUGAUUCUAAAUCUGGGUCCUUAGACGCCACGUUGAGGAGCCAUCCAGCGAUGUAUAUCAAGACCUCCUGUUGUACACAAUCACCUACCAUGAUGUCCUCCCCUUCCACUCCAGCCAAAGAGUCUACUGGAAGAUCUGCCACAUCUCCUAUGACAGACUGGAUGACGGUGUUGAAAUGUGAAUAUAUGGAGCGGUGUUGCGGUGUCCGGCAGGCAGUUGCCCUUGUCGGAUUGGAACAACUCCGUGACCGAAGCACUUUUGAGGGCGGCUGCAAAUUCCCUACUCGUAGGGUUGUAACGGUGACCUCCUUUUCCCCGGAUGACAGAGAACAGAUUCUGUAUAGGAAGGUUUGUAUAGGAAGGUUUGUAUGUUAUUGCAACUUAUCACCCGGUUGCCACU